rnacentral:piRNA from 1 species
AGCCAAUGAUGUUUUUAUUCAAUGUCUG